UAUCAAGUGCAUGUAGUAGCUUGUCAUUGUGAAACCAGAUAUUUUACAGGAGAUCUUCAUAGUUUCCUGAGGUUUCUUUAUCUCAGCAGGUGACUGAUCUAAUCUGAUUUCAUCCCCACUGAUACCUGUUUAAUAAAAUACAAUAAUGACAUAAACGAAGAGCUUUUUCAGUGCUUAAAAAUGCUUUUAGCUGGAAAAUAAAAAUGUCAAAAUUACCUUGUUGCGUUAAAAUCACCAUAAACACAAAAUGCCAAAUGAUCCUCGAACCCAUUGUUAGAAUGUUUGCUAGUACAUAUAAUUUCUGCACCUUAAAUAUGAUUUAAUUGGAUGUGUGAAGUAAACGUAUUAUAUAGAAUUAAAUUAGCAAGCACAUUUGCAUAGGCGUUUUUUUUUUUUUUUUUUUGUAUAUGAUCUCUUAGACUAAGUGUAAUAUGGGUGAGCAUGUGAGGAGGAGGAGUUAUUGCUAAAGGUUCUCCAAACUGAUGCUCUGGAUUGUUCAUUAUUGACCCAACUUCUCGUGUGAUCAUGUUGCAUUGAUUCCCUCUUGUGGAGGUAACGGAGCACUGCUGCAAUAUCACAUUCUACAUUUUUCAAUGGAUUGUCGUUAUAAUAUAUUACAGCUUUUGUUUGUAAUAGAAGAGUUUGAUUGCCUGUAUUACAAAUGCUUAAAAGCAUUUUUUUUUUUCAGGAACUUUUUUUACUGUGGUACAAUGUCUAAACAUCAUCCUUAGCUGGUGGAGAAGCAGGUGUGUGUUGAUAAUUAUAAAUGCUUUGCACACUUGGAUGAACUGUAGAGGUUUUAGCCAGUUUCUCACACUGAGAUGAGCCAGUGUGGCAGUUUUUAAAUCAAGUAGCUUUUCAGUAGCGAAGCUAUAUUUUUGACAAGGUAGCGGCGUAGCGUUGAGAAAAGCUACACCGCUACAUCAAAUGUGCACCGGGUGUUUACUAUCGCCAGUUCUGAAUAAAAACUAAGGAUAUCCGAUCACAAAUAAAUCGCUCAUCUGAGUUUAAAAUGAAUUGGUCACACGUGAUAGGAAGAUGGUCUGAAUCGGUUCGCGAUUCAAUCUGAAUGACUCAGAAAUCUUGCGCUCGCGCUGCUGAAUCAUUUGUGCGCGCUCUCGCUUGACAAUAAGCUCACGGAGUAUUUUAUAACAUGGAAAAUAAAGAUAACGGUGGUUGCAGUGGAUCUAAAAUAAAUGGAAACGAAACCUGCAAAUGCGUCCUUUGGUUUGACAGUUAUGAAGAAGGUCUUUAUAAUGUUAAACAUGUUUGCAGCUUGUAAAUGACUAAUUCAAUUUUCCAACCAAGAGUAUCAAAACGUGUAUUAUCUACACGAAAACACAUAAAAAAGUACCAUGGCAUUACCAUGUUUUUUGGACAUGUACUAUUACCUGGACACACUAUGUUAAUAUAAUGGUAGGCUAUGGUAAAUACAACAGUAUAUGUAUAUGGUAAUCAUAUAUCAGUUUACCAUGGUAUUACCAUGGUAUUCUUUGAAGUACUUUGAAGCACCAUGCAAAUACAGAAUGGUACAUAAAUAUGGUAAUUGUAUAUCAAAGUACCAUGGUAUUACCAUGUGAUACCAUCAGAAAUCACAUUGUUAUUGCCCAAAUGUGCACACACACACACACACACACACACACACACACACACACACACACACAACAAAUUUGGCCUCUGACCAUAUAUCCUGUAAUUCUGUGUCUAGCUGCUGUAUUUCUGUAUUGUAUAGAUUAAUAAUAGUAUACUGUAUGUAUGCAGAGUUUUUAUACAAGAAUGUGCAAAUGAAAUUGAUUAAAUGGGUAUGAGUUUAUAGAGGUAGUCUAAAUCUGAUAAAUAAAAUGUAAAAAUAAUGAUUUUUCAUCUUGAACACGUGUUUGUUGAUGUAGUAUUAUAAAUAUGAAAGAUAAAAUGUAAAAAUAGUGACUUUAAAUGUUGAACACAUGGGUUUGUAUAAGUAGCACAUCUAAAUAUGAAUUUGCAUGUUUUGUUUUUUGCUUUUACAUGCACUUACCGGUAUGUAGUGCACCAUACUGUAUACUUGUAUACUGUAUUGCACUACACUGUAAUAUACUGAACCAAGGCUUUGAUCAACAUCAUGUGAAUAAGUCUUUUAGAUGCUUUGUCUAUGAUGGUAUGCUCUGUGCAUCUGCGGUUGAAAAAAAUAUGAAGUAGCAUAAAUGUAGCAAGCUACUUUUGGUGUGUAGCUUGUAGUGUAACUUGCUACUUUCUCUGAAGUGUAGCUUUAAGCUUAGCUUAACCAAUUUUUCUGUUGAGUAAUUUGUAGCUUAUCUUGCUACAUUUUUUAAGUAGCUUGCCCAACACUGGCUGUGUUCUCAGUCUGCAGGCUGCUGUUGUCUACAGUAAGUACAGCUCAUUACGGUUUGUGUUUCUGUAGCAACUCUUGAAGUAAUUUCCAGAAUCUAUUGUUGGGUCAUUCCUGGGAUUCAGUAAUAUUUCAACUUGGAUUUUUCCUACUACAUUUAAUUAAUUGUCUGAAUACUCCAAAACAUAAGGCACAUAUUACACCUCCAACAAAUCAUAUUUUCCCACAUCAGACAUCAAAUCCCUUUUAUUAUUUCCUAUUUUUUUCUGAUUUGGACACCUUUUUUCUCAACCUCGUCUCGGACAUAAUGGAAGUGGUUUGAAAAUGGUUCUAGACAAUACUUGUUAUAAAAUAAGCAUCUACCUGCUGCUUAUGUGUCCCUCAUACAAAUAUAAUGACUACACAUAUAAAAUGUAUGACAGUUUUCUUAUUUCUAUGUGAUAAAGCUACACAAAAGUCAAAUUGUGUGUCUGUAAAUAUCUUUAUUACAUUCAGAUAUUUAACUAAAACCCCAACUUUCUAGAGCUAGCCCUUAACAUGUAAGGCUGUGCUCAGCAAACAAUAUAUUGAUUUUUAAUUGUGUUCCCAUUUUAAUUAUCAAAUAUUGCUCCGUCACAACUCUCCAACCACUAGGCGACUUGCAUCCACAUAUUUUUAACAUCAUGUUUCAGCCAAGUAAAUAUAUAAAAUUUGUAAUAUAUAAUACACUGACUAUUCCAUAUUUUUGUUACAAUAUUCAUAAAUGUACUGAAUAACUCAACCCCGUCACAGGUUUACUGUGAAGAAAUGUGAUGGUAGAUUUUUGCUAAAAAAAAAUUCCUCAUGUGGUGUAGGACAGAAGAUAGCAUGCAUGAUAUUAAUCAAUUCUAUAUAUAUUUAUGGAUUAAUGUAUCAUAUUGAAAGGUACUGAUUUAAUAUCUUAGUUUCAUGUGACGGGGUUGAGUUGUUGAGCUUGACCAUACCCAUUUUACUAUAAUACAUUUCAAAUAUAAAUACAGAUUAUGAUAUUUUUACAACCAAAUUGGUCCGGUGAAGCCUCCACACGCACUAUGUCUCCGUGGCAACGCGCUCAACAAGCUACAUGAUAAGAUGCGCGGGUUUAUGGUUUGAGACGCCGAGGCAGCUGGAAUUCGUCCUCCGAAUCACUACGCGACCACAAGGACUUAAAAAGCAUAUUGGGAAUUGGGAGAGAAAGAAAAAAAAAAAUAAUAAAUAAAAAGAAAAAAUGACACAUAUGGGCAGAACUAAAACUUUUAUGGGCUGAAAAUGGUUGGUGUGACGGGGUUUUUUUUUUUUUUUUGGUAAAAUAUCUUUCUCAGCAAAUGAACACAAAUCUUUACACUGAUGACAAAAAUUACUGACAGUGUGCACACUUUUUUUUUUUUUUAGGUGCACAUUCAGUGAAGUGCCUCAGGGACAUGACAAACUCCUUGGUUUAAGAAAGAAAGAAGACAUUUUUAUGAUAAAGAUUAUGUUAAUGCAAUAAUUAUUUUAAUUCAUUAGAAUGGACAUAUCAACAUCUUGUAAAAAGCUUUCAGCAUUUCAUUUUAGUGAACUUCAUUAGGUCUGGGGGACUGAAAUAUUACUGAAUCCCAGGAAUGACCCUGAUCCACUUUCUCAUAUAAUCCCGAUCCACUGCAUGCCUUUUCCAGGACUCUGUCUGAUCCAUGCUGUGCCAUAAUCACUGAGUGCAUAUCCAUAGAUCUGACAGGACAACUGCGCCGAUUCACCGGGAGCUUUAAUCUGUGCUGGAGACAAGAUACAUCUGUUUCUUGUUGUUGUCUCUGGAGAUGGUGAACCGUCCCUGAACAGACUGAGAGUAGUGUAUAGUACUACCAGAUGAGAUGUAUGCAAUCCACUCCAAGCCUCCUGCUGAAGCCUGUCUGAUCCAGGACAAGUGAGGGUCACUACUAAAUCCUGAAGAUGUACAGUGUGCUAACACGGCAACCUCCACCACCACACCACCACCAGUUGAGUCCCGUCCUGCAUGGGGUAGGCUCUUCGCCCCUGCCUCCUAUCUCCAGCAGGAUAUGAUGGUUCCGAGUACAACUUCUUCGGACCACCAGACGGGGCUUACGCCAAAGAGAGACAUUACAUUUCUGUUUUAUAUUCAUCAAAUAAUUGUCAUCUUAAUUUUCACUCAAGUCUGUGAGUCUUCUUAGAAUGGAUUUUCUGCAAACUUUUUGAGCAUAAUAAAUAAUCAAAUUUUAAUUAAACCCUUAUCCAUAACAAUUUUGAUAUAAUUACAUAUUUUAUAACUAUUAAUAUCCAUGUUAAGAUAAAUGAUUGCAAUUUCUAAAACUCCAAAACAUCACAGAAUAUGUAGGCCUAGAUUCUUAUUCCUGGUUUGUCAUUUAAAAAACACACACAAAUACUUUGAUUUUAAAUAAAUGUUUUUAUUUACAUAUUCAUUGUGGUGCUUUAUAAAUCGACCACUAAUCUGAAUAGGGUAUUAGAGGAACUCAUCCCACUGUGGUGUUUCUCUUAAUCUCAGAAACAUGCUGAAUCCAGUUUCCCAGUCACAAGCUCACCACUACUAAAACUCAUCCUCUAGAAGUAAAGCAUCUAGAUUUUUCUGCCACUCUUUUUUUAUGUGCAAUACAUAAAAUUGUGGUUUGCAGAUCUAGAGCGCGGCUGUGUGCCUAGUGCGCAGCGCAGAAGUAACAUUACCUCAACGCUGAAAGUGCAUCCAUAUCCAUGCACUAAAGUUGGAGCACUCAAGAUUUCCCUGCCUGUUACCUUCACGAACUUGCGUAGUUAUGUAAAACCUUGGAAUAUUCCAUUAAGGCCUGAUCUGAGCGGGAUGCUUGCAUUGACGGUGCUGAAAGGAACAGCAAUACUAAUCAUAUCAGUGUUAUAACAGCAAUAUUUCAAGUUUCAGCAUAUGUUAUUUUGCAUUAAUAAUAAUUAAAAAUAUAAUUUGUAUUUUUAGGGGGCCCUCAGAUUUUAGGGGCCCUAGGCGGUUGCCCAUCUUUGCCUAGUGCUAAGUCCGCCCCUGGGGGUAAACAAAAAUACUGUGAAAUUUGAUAAAUGUAUAAUAAAGGUAUGCCUAUUAUAAUUACAAUAAUAAAAAAGUAAUUAAUUUGCACCCAUCGUCUCUAUUCCUCAGCCCUCCCACUGCAGUGUCUUCAUGCUUCAGUUGACUUAUAUGCAGGUUGAAAUUUGAGCUUUUCUUAGAUGCUGUGAACCUGCCCUGCACUGUCUGAGCUGAAUCUUUAUCUGAGUCUGUAUAAUAGUGCAAUAUCCAUUCAAGUCCUUUUCCAGGGGCCUGGCGGAUCCAAUGCAUUCUUGUAGCUACCCACACUGAAUCCAUUACAGGCACAGGUCAGUUUGAGGGAUCCACUUGGAGACACAGUUAUUGACUGUUCAGAUUGUAUGAGUAUAACCUGUGAGUAGAUGCCUAAACAAAAAUGCCUAAAAAAAAAAAAAAAACUCUUCAAACACAAUAUAGAUGAAAUAGAGAUUAGAUUUUGCAUUGAACCCCCCUAAAACAUUUCCAAAAUAAACAGAAUAAACUCAAAUUGAAAACUUUUCUAAAGUAAAAACACUCACUGUGUACAGAUGCCAACAGCUAAAAGAGCUUCAUGGAGAACAUUGUUUCUUCUCUUUCAGAUCAAAUACUCAUUUACUGGUUGUUUAAAUAUUAGAGAGCAUUUGAGUUUUGCAUUAAUGAUGUAUUUGCUCAUACAUGUAAAAUACAGAGAGUGGGUGUGUUCAAACAAAAGUGUGAAAAUGGACUAGUUGACUUACGUUCACACCAGGUUAUUAGUUACAUGUUAUGUAAAUGAUCUUCAUAUAAAGAAAUUACAGUUAAUUGAUUUACAAAGUUAAGUGCCUCUAUAUCUCUCCAGGUUACCCUCACCUGCAACAGGAUCAAACCUGUGACAUUUGCAUCAUUUGCUCAGAUGCAACUUUAUGAUUCAGCUUUGUUAUGUAAAUGUGUGGUGUGUUUAUUGAAUGUUCUAUUUGGUUUCAUCUUGUUUAACUACAGAUGAACAUCAGCCACUUUCUGUUCAGAUCAAUGUUGCAAAAUGGAGAGAGAAAGAAGUAGCCUUGAUUGUCUGAUGGUACAGUCAUUAAGACGAGAUGCUAUGAAAAGUAAUGAAGUCUGUAUGAUCUCUGAGACUUUGAAAUUACAAAUGCAUUCAUGGCUUUCUCUCAUUGACACUUUAAACACAACUGAGUGCUGAAAUCAUGUACACUGUGAACCAGUGUGACAGAAGCUUGCAAAAUCACAGUAUGAAAAUUAAAAUGCAGCUGAUCUACGUAAAAUAUAAUCCAGGCUAAUUUAUUGUUCAAAGCAUUUAUUGGUUUUUGAACAAUUGUAUUGAUUUUGUUAACAUUUGUAGUUGCAUUUUGUGUCAUAAGAUAUUAUAUAAAACGACACUCUGGCUUUCAUUGUCAACAAAUAAACUACCUGUUUAUGGAAAUAUUGUUUAUGGUAUGUUUAAUUGAGAGAUUCUUGUACAGGUUCUCU